UACAGAGGUGGCAAGCGUUGUUCGGAAUUACUGGGCGUAAAGGGCGCGUAGGCGGCCUCCUAAGUCGAACGUGAAAGCCCCAGGCUUAACCUGGGAACUGCGUUUGAUACUGGGAGGCUUGGAUUCGGGAGAGGGAUGUGGAAUUCCAGGUGUAGCGGUGAAAUGCGUAGAUAUCUGGAGGAACACCGGUGGCGAAGGCGGCAUCCUGGACCGAGAUCGACGCUGAGGCGCGAAAGCUAGGGGAGCAAACGGG
rnacentral:rRNA from 1 species